GGUCAAGUUAUUAAGGGUGCAGGGCGGAUGCCUUGGCACUAGGAGCCGAUGAAGGACGUGAUAAGCUGCGAUAAGCUUCGGGGAGUUGCACGUAAACUUUGAUCCGAAGAUUUCCGAAUGAGGAAACUCACUUAGAGUAAUGUCUAAGUAUCAUUAAGUGAAUACAUAGCUUAAUGAGGGGAACUCAGGGAACUGAAACAUCUAAGUACCUGAAGGAAGAGAAAGAAAUUCGAUUCCGUAAGUAGCGGCGAGCGAACGCGGAUUAGCCCAAACCAAUAAAGUUUUCUUUAUUGGGGUUGCGGACAUAUCAUAACGAAGAGGUAUCGUAAUUGAAGAGGUUUGGAAAGACCCACCACAGAAGGUAAUAGUCCUGUAUGUUAAACGAGAAGACUUCAGAUAUGAUCCAGAGUACCACGGGACACGUGAAACCCUGUGGGAAGCAGGAGGGACCACCCUCCAAGGCUAAAUACUACCUAGUGACCGAUAGCGUAUAGUACCGUGAGGGAAAGG
rnacentral:rRNA from 1 species